CACGCCCUAAACGAUGUCAACUAGUUGUUGGGAGGGUAAAACCUUUUAGUAACGUAGCUAACGCGUGAAGUUGACCGCCUGGGGAGUACGGCCGCAAGGCUAAAACUCAAAGGAAUUGACGGGGACCCGCACAAGCGGUGGAUGAUGUGGAUUAAUUCGAUGCAACGCGAAAAACCUUACCUACCCUUGACAUGUCAGAAAUCCCUGAGAGAUUAGGGAGUGCCGCAAGGAAUCAGAACACAGGUGC
rnacentral:rRNA from 1 species